AUUGAACGCUGGCGGCAGGCCUAACACAUGCAAGUCGAACGAGUGGGGGCCGGGUGAGUCAUGUGUGGGAAACUGCCUGAUGGAGGGGGACAACUACUGGAACCGGUACCUAAUACCGCAUACCAUGAGAUGUUCCCAGAUGGGAUUAGCUUGUGGGUGGGGUAACGGCUCACCAAGGCGACGAUCCCUAGCUGGUCUGAGAGGAGGACCAGCCACACUGGAACUGAGACACGGUCCAGACUCCUAAGGGAGGCAGCAGUGGGGAAUAUUGCACAAUGGGCGCAAGCCUGAUGCAGCCAUGCCGCGUGUAUGAAGAAGGCCUUCGGGUUGUAAAGUACUUUCAGCGGGGAGGCGUGACCAGAAGAAGAAGCACCGGCUAACUCCGUGCCAGCAGCCGCGGUAAUAC
rnacentral:rRNA from 1 species